rfam:Ictidomys tridecemlineatus contig057966, whole genome shotgun sequence.
GGUGAUGUAGCUCAGUGAUAGAGCACAUUCCUUGCACUAGUGAGGCUCUGGGUUCCAUGCCUAGUAUCAACA